rfam:Rheinheimera sp. SA_1 Contig_21, whole genome shotgun sequence.
UUACCACUUUGUGAUUCAUGACUGGGGUGAAGUCGUAACAAGGUAACCCUAGGGGAACCUGGGGUUGGAUCACCUCCUUA